AUAAUCUAUUUGGAAGAUGUCUUUUACCAACCAUGAUUUUCUUCGUGCUGCUUGGUUCAAUGAAUCAAUGUAUAUGGUGUUGUAUAAGUAAUAACCUACUUGUGCAUGUUCACUGACAAUAUUUUAUUUAUUUCACCCAUCGCUUUGGUAACUCGAUUCCUUGUCUGUUUAUAAGGCGUAUUGCGCCAGAUUUCCGAAGGAGACCUGAAACCGAAUAAAGGACAGCGGAAUGCUAUUAACGCCAAGACAGAAUUGGCUAACUGGAAUGUUCUUGGAAAAAGAAACCAACCGCCAGUGCUUGGUGUGGACACAAAUCUGACGGACUCCCUGCCGGACAUUCCCAUUCUCUGUUGGAGACUCCCAGUACCAGUUUUGUUUGCGCCUGUGAUAUCAGAUGACGUGGGAAACCAAUUCUUAAAUCUUCAACCUUGAUUCUUCCGUCCAUUUCAAAAUGGCGACCAGGAUCAUGUGCUGGUCGUCCAAGAGGAAGGGUGCUGGACGUACGUAGGUCGUCAGGGUGGUCGACAGACACUCUCUGUCGGACAGGGAUGCGAGGACAAACUGAUCAUCACUCAUCUGGUUCUCCAUACACUUGGCAUGUGGCAUGAGCACAACAGAGCUGACAGGGACGAGUAUAUCACUAUCCACCCAGAAAAUAUCGAAGAAGGUGCGAUGGUAAAUUUCCACAAAUAUCAUCUAAUGGAAGCAAAAGACAUUUUGCCGGUGAUCAAGAGUGGCAUCAACCCAGAAAUUCAUCCUACAACGGACACCAUCUUCCAAGUGCAUAAAAUCGAAAUAUCACCUCUUAUGAGCAAGAGCUAAUAAAUUCCAAAUGCCACCUAGAUAAAACACUGUUCCCUUACGACGUGUGCUCCCUAAUGCACAUCGGGCCAUUCAGUUACUCCAGUAAUGGACUUCCAGUCUUCAGCCCCAAACAGUGGCGAGGGCCUUGUUCAAAUUCCAACACCGGCGACGAAGACCUCGAAACGUUAUGCAAUAUGUUCAUUUAUCAGCUAUGGCACCAGUAUCACAAGGUCCUUGGUUGUGUCCCGCCGUCCGCAACAGUUCAGCUCGAGAAUGGUGACAGAAAGACUAUGAAAGAUCUGCCGAUCGGAGACAGUGUAAUGGUGAUGGAUGAAAAUCAGGAAAUGACCUUCAGUGAUGUGCAUCUAAUGAUACACAAAUUGGAUGAGGCGUAUGUCAAUUAUGUCAUAAUCGAAACGGAAAUUGGACAGAGAUUAACAUUAAGCAUGGAACAUAUCGUAUAUGUAUCCUCAUUCUGGAACUCACAGCCUUGGACGAGAAUGGCUAAGAAGGUAAAGUUUGGAGAUUACCUGUACCGCCCUGAAAUGUCAAACCGGACAUUUAGUCCGACCAAGGUGGUGUCUGUGAGGAAGGAAGUGAUGGAAGGAGCAUAUGCACCUUCUACACUAUCAGGAAACAUGGUGGUUGACGGUCAUCUUGCCUCUUCGUAUGUCUUUAUGGAGGAUCAGGGUGUGGCUCACGGGCUUUUUUUUGCCAUGGCGGUUGACGUAUAACAUACAUAACGCUGUGUUUGGAAGGUCACCUCAGGUUCCAGCUCCUGGUCUCCACUGGUCCGUGAGGGCCUUCCUGACAAUCUACUGUGCAGUAGUUGAACACGAAGUCUGUGACGGGUUGUCAAGCACGUUAUAGAACUGUAUAUGACAAAUCGGUUAAAUGUAUUAACUGCCCCCGUAUACCUUACACACACAAAAUUACAAUCUUCAAUCUUUUUAGCAUAUCAUUUUGAUUUUUGUUCAGAUGUAUAAUAGGUUCCAUCAUACUUAUGACUCCAUGGAGGUACCGGGUUGGAAUAGCUAGUAUUGAUCUCUGGUGACCUAUUCUCCUUACAAGAAAAAGCUA